UUGCGCUGUGAGUGUUUUUUAUUUGUGGUGGUGGUGGUGGUGGUGGGGAGUUGCAAGGGUGGUUAUGAGGGGACUAGGAAAUGAACCAGACUGGGGUGCAUGAUGUGAAACUCACAAAGAAUAAUAAUAAUAAAAGACAGUUACAAAGUUGAUUUAUUUGACUUCAUGUCUUUCAAAGACAGGACUGGAACACAGAGGUUUUUAUUUAUCUAUUUUUUUUCUGAUUGCCAUUGUCAUUUGUGGUUUGUUUCUGACGUAGAUCUGAGUCUCCCUCCCCCUUCCCCCUCCUUUCAUUUCCUCAUGCUCCAGUUCCACUCCCUCUGAAUUGUCAGAUUUUAGCAGCAGUCCUCCCUCCUUCAUCACAGUGUCAGUAUAUGGGGAGUUCCAGGAGAACAAGUCAUAGGUUCCCAAAUGGGCACGGCUCGAGACGUGCGAUGAAGUUCUAUGCUGACCUGUCAUAUCCUGUGUAGGAUGUGAGUCAUCUCUCACCCACCAUGUCCACACUGUAUGCCUCUGGCUCCCUUAGGAGUUCCCCUGGUUUUCAGAUCCACUGUCAUAGUGAGAGAAGUGGAGCAGACACACCAAAGAGACGCUAUGGGCAAAGAGGAAAGAAAUAAGAAAGCUCUUAAUUGGACUGUACUUGAUAUUUCCCAGAUGUUCUGCCUGCAUAUGUGCAUGCGCACCACAUGCGUGGGCGCCCGUUGGAUGGUUGUGAGGUACCUGGGUGCCGGGAAUGGAACUCAGUUUCUCGGUCACCGUUUACAAUCCUGAGCUAUAACACAAACACAAGCACUGUCAGCAACGCAUCACUGAGGGAACAAACCCACUGACUCAUGAGAACAUCGCCAACACCAGAGCAACGCCUCGAGGUUCUCCAGCACUGCUCAGCUCCGCCUUAGGAUGGUUCGUUAGAAGCGACUGAAACAGUACAUCUCUGCUGGAGACGCUGAGGCACAGGAUUCUCAGAAGAAUGAGGGGAAGACCGGAAAGCAAGAGAACAGCUGAAGAAUGUGGCCAGAUGAGGUGUGCUCCGGUCUGAUGGAAGUCAACGGAAGGAAAGGGAACCUGAGUUUGUCCUUCCUUGAAGCAGAGGGGGCAGGCUUUUGAAAGCCUAUCAGGCACCAGUCAGGGUCUUCUUUGAGAACAGGAACAUAGUUUCUCAGACAAGAAGCUUCCAUUUGGAAAAGGACUGGGGUGAAACUGUGAAGGGCAGGCCGUACCUUAUGCAGAAGGCUGAAAUGGUGUGCUGGCUAGUUUAGUUUGGUUGUUGUUUCUCCUCCUCCUCCUCCUCCUCCUCUUCCUCCUCUUGCUCUUCCUCCUCUUUCUCCUUCUCUUCUUUUUCUUCCUCCUCCUUCUCCUCCUCCUCUUCUUUUAUUCUUCUUCCUCCUCUUCCUCUUCCUCCUCUUUCUCCUCUUCCUCUUCCUCCCCCUCUUCUUCCUCUUCCUCCUUUUCCUCUUCCUCUUCCUCCUCUCCCUCCUCUUCCUCCUCUUUCUCCUCUUCUUCUCUUCCUCUCUUCCUCUUCCUCCUCUCCCUCCUCUUCCUCCUCUUUCUCCUCUUCUUCUCUUCCUCUCUUCCUCUUCCUCCUUCCUUCCUCUUGUUUCUUCCUCCUCCUCCUCCUCCUCCUCUUCCUCUUCCUCCUCUUCCUUCUCCUCCUCCUCCUCUUUUCUUCUGCCAACUGUUAAUUCCGGGUCAUCUGGGCAGAGGGACCUUUAGUUGAGAAAGUAGCUCCUGCAGACAAGUGUGUGGGAGGGCCCAACUCACUGUGAGCAGUGCUGCCCCUGUGCAGAUGGCCCUGGGUUUUAGAAGAAAGCAGACUGAGCAGGCCACAAGCUCAAGCCAGUAAGCAGCACUCCUCCAUGGGCUCUGCCUUGCGUUUCUGCCUUGUCUUGCUCUGGUGAUGGGUUGUAACCUGGAAGCUGAAUAAACUCCUUCUCCCCUCCGA